GUGACCUCAGCACUCCCUGCGCAGCCCGUGCCACUGCAUCACCACUCUUUCUGAGAAUAAUUUUUACCUAAUAACCGACCUGCACCUCCCCUGACACAACUUGAGGCCGUUCCCUCUGGUCCUAAUGAUAAAGCCAGUUCUAUCGCCUGCUCCUCGAGCCGGUCAGGCUUCCAACCAGCCAGGACUCGGCAGGGUGUAGCAGCAGGUGCAAGGCCAUCUCCUGGCAGCAGCAGCGCGUUCUGGUGGGAGCAGCCCAACUUCCCAGCGAGCCAGGAGCCUGCAGCUGCCCGCACGUAAGCGCGGCACUUAGGAAACAGCUGCCGGGACAUAAGGUGGAAAUCUACCUGGCCCGAUGUUUGCUUUGGAAGCGAGCACCCGCGCUGGGAGAAAAAGAUAAAGCCAGCGCCUGGCCGGGGGCUGAAAGGAGAGGGGGGAGAGGCCGAUUACAAGAGCGGCUUUUGUUCUUGAGUCUCCCGGGGCCAAAGAAGCUCUCGGCCGGUGGCGGAGAAGCCCCGGGCUCGGAACGCGGCACCGCACCGCUACCGGGCCGGGCCUGGAGAACACCGACGGGAUGUCGCCCAGCACGGGGAUGGCUGCGGGCCGCGUGACGUCAGUGCGGCUUCUGCUCCGCGCCGCGAGAUAGAGGCAACAGGGCCGGGGGAAGGGAGAUCCUAAUCGUUCCCAGAUGGCUCUAAUAGCAGAUAUAAAGACUUACACAGCAUCCGAGAAUAAAUUUGUAAUCAACGCUCUACCAUCGGAUUAUCAAAGCGGCUACUUCGGGAGGGGAAAAUGAAGGUGGAGGGCUCUGGGAAAGAAGAGGCAGACACACACACGGCUACGGGGCGGGAUGGGGUGCGAGGCAGCGGGUAGCCCCGGCCCGGCCCCACGUCCUUUGGCUACAGUUAAUGGGAGCACGCAUAGUUCAGUUAUUGAGCUGAUCUGCCCCACUGGCAGAUGCACGUCCCACAGACGGGGAGCACACGGGGCAGCCUCGGGAGACAGCGGUCGGGAUUCGGCCUGCACCUCCGCCAAAGGAGCGGUGGGCUUUGGGUGCCGAGGAGAGGCCGGCCGGGAGCACUGCUGCUUCUUUACAACGUGGGGAAAAACCAAACCAAACCUCGUUUGGUCUAGAAGUGAGCGUUAAGCCGCGAGCAAAGCCGGGCUGGACCCACCCGGUUGCACCGCAUCACACGGAAAUACUGCAGAGUGGUUGGGCUGCCUACGGUCGGGUCCACAGCAGCAACUUGCCACGCACCUUCCACACAGCUGCCCCGAGGCCGCGGAUAACGCUCUUAUCAGUCCCUCCGCUUCACAGAGCGGGGCCGGGGCGCUGACAUCCCGGCUACCAUCAAUUCACCUUCUGCCACCCCGCUCCCCCAUUUAGCUUUUUGCCGGCUCCGGCCUGUCUAGGGCUCUCGUGGACUGUUCCUGAGAAAACGGUAACAUCCUCACUGCAGAGCAAUUAAAAGAGAUCCUUCUUAGCACGUCCACGGGGACUCCCAGGGCUGAAAAAUGAGCGUUUGAAGAGGAGAGAAUUACGGAUCGGUAAAUCCCGGAGAGGGCAGCUCCCGGCCUCAGCCCUGUACCCUGGAUAGAGACGAAGACUGACUGGGAGGGCAGAAAGGGGAUUGGGGCUGGGGGCAGCAGAACCCUCUGCUUUUUCAGCCCUGCCUCUAGCAGGCAGGGCAAAGUAUAGAAUGGGAAAAGUCUUCGCCGCAAGUGCUACAAACAAAGGCAAGUGGCUGUAAACACGGCCCGACGACGAAACGCACGGCCGGGCAGCCUGACCCGCCGGGAAGAGGGCACGGCCCUUUGGUCCCGUUGUCGUAACCCCGCAACCUCCCCAGCGCCGGUGCGGUACGCCCUGAUCUUGGCUCGGGCAAUCGCACCUCUACCUCCGCUCAUGGUCGGGGGCGGCGGGAGCCACUUCCUCGGGCGCGGACGGGCACACGGCCGAGGACCUGCAGAGAGAGCCAGCACGGGUUUAGUGGGAGCAACGAUACCAAGCCGAGGUUUAUCACGAAAGAGGCGGAGGGGGCUGAAAAAAAAGCUAUGUAAUUCGUGAAAGCUUUAAGAACCACUAAGUUAAUAACACUAAGCUCACCGCAGCAAAUUGUAAAUCCCCAUCCCACGCAAAGCUCCGGCCCUGAUCCCUCUUCUCUGCUCUGUACGGGAUUACCUGGGCCAGCGGGGCAUAGAGAAGAGCCAGAACCCCCCCGCGUCCCGCAGCCUCCGGCCCCGCCGUGGAGCCCCCGCCCGAUAAACGCUGCAGGCACAGGGUGGGGGGAACCGUCCGUCACCCCCUCCUCUCAAUCGGGCACUGGGUUAAAAACGAACCUCGGAGCCAUCUUUAUAAUUUAGUUUACUUCCGAAUAUUUUAAAUAUUAUGAAAAAAAGCCAUAAACAACGCUGUUAUUCAAAACAUUUUGAGGUAUAAAACAUAAAAAGAUUUGGGUUUCUUUCCCCACCCUCUCUCUCUUUUUUUUUUUUUUUUUUUUUUCUUUUGUAAAAAACACACACAGUGGUUUAUUGAGUACUUACAACGCUUACACCUUCAAUAUUAAUUAGAUUCCACUUUUUCCCUUAUGGACGGAAGUGCACAUAACCAAUAACUGCCGAAAAAACAUCUCAGAAUACCGAACAA